GGCAACCUGGCCGAGCGGUCUAAGGCGCCAGGUUAAGGCAAUACCUUGACAAAUAUCCUGGUCUCUUCGGAGGCGAGAGUUCGAAUCUCUCGGUUGUCA
rnacentral:tRNA from 2 species